rnacentral:rRNA from 1 species
GACGAACGCUGGCGGCGUGCCUAACACAUGCAAGUCGAACGGAGAAUUAGCAAUAAUUCUUAGUGGCGAACGGGUGAGUAACGCGUAGACAACCUACCCUUUAGAUGGGGACAACACCGCGAAAGUGGUGCUAAUACCGAAUAUUGCUUGAGAAGCGCAUGCUUUUAAAACUAAAGAUGGCCUCUAUUUAUAAGCUAACGCUAAAGAAUGGGUCUGCGUCUGAUUAGCUAGUUGGUGAGAUAAAAGCUCACCAAGGCAACGAUCAGUAGCCGGUCUGAGAGGAUGAACGGCCACACUGGGACUGAGACACGGCCCAGACUCCUACGGGAGGCAGCAGUGGGGAAUCUUCCGCAAUGGACGAAAGUCUGACGGAGCAACGCCGCGUGAGUGAUGAAGGUUUUCGGAUCGUAAAACUCUGUUGUUAAGGACGAAUGUAUAGAUUGUGAAUAAUGGUUUAUAAUGACGGUACUUAACGAGGAAGCCACGGCUAACUACGUGCCAGCCGCCGCCGAA